GGCAGAGAUGUUUCUGCUAUUUUGCCUCCUACUGCAGCCUCUCUGUACGCCUGUAUGCAUUUCCUAUACAUGUAGGACUGAGCUGUGGAACUGUACGUACUCUGUACUGCACUGAGGCUGUUUUUUAGGCCUCAAUAGAACUGAGCAACGCAUAAUCUGAGCCCAGAGUCACAGCUUCAGCUACACUGUCAACAGCUGAACGGAAUACUUUUUUUUAACUGCUGUGCAGGAAGCUUAAAUAUUAUAGAUUUUCGCACGUUCUUGUUAGAGAAACUAUCAACCCCCCUCUCCUCUUCUGCUCUCCCCAGCCCCCUUACAAAGGGUGAUUACAUGCCUGUCAUUUCGGGACCACGAGGGUAACAAUCUACAUAUCUACACUGUGCAGAUUUCUCAAUUAUACUGUAGAAGUGCCAGUGUCUAUUGAUCUCCUUUGUAAUCGCGACCAUCUCUUACGCAUAACUACCUGUCUGCCCUGUCAACAGGCAGCCAAAAAUGAGCUCCAGAUGAUGUGCUGUUUUUUCCGACGUGAGCAUGUGUUUGGAGAGCUGCUAGUUUCACCACUUCCCUGGUCCCCCUGUUUUGCAGGCAUGGGCACACCACGCUGCCUCCUGUCACUGCAGGCUCUUCUCGUAAGGAGGAGCUGGUUGCUGGAGCCGGCAGCCCAUUUCACAGGUCUCCAUUGUGCAGCUCUUCUUGCAUGGCUUUUCUCUCCUUGCUUUCCCUACCUCCCGUCUCCCUCCCUCUUAGUGAACCUGUUGGCGGCCCUGAUCUUCAACUCUCCACACCCGCCCAGAUCUGUCUUACCUGUAAAUUCAACUUCUGCUUGCAUCCACGGGUUUCCCAUGCAUCUUGUAGGCACACCUGAAAAUGGCCUACUUCUGCAGUAACUUCUGACUGUGGUCACUCUGUUUUCCAGCUACCUGAACGCACAGAGCUCUGCACCUGAUUUGUUUUGUGGGUUGUUUUUUUUUCCAGUAUUUCGGGAACUGCCUGAUGUUUGUGUCCCCUUCCACCACUCAGUGUCUCCCUACCAGAUUCUAGGCCAUGUUAACGAGCACCCUGUACCCUUGCCUCAGUUUGGCUCUCUGGGUUCAUUUCUCUUUCACUGAUACUUUUCCAGCUGCAUUCAGUAGACCAGUGCUGACUUUUGUCUGUGUCUUUUUAACAUGUCUGACCAGAGAUAAUGGAAAAAGACUUUUAUGCAGUUCUCUGAAACAGCCUUUGCCCUGUAUCUCCUGCUUCAGCAGCUUCAUCCCCAGAUGAUGGCUAAUCCCCAUGCCUAAUGCUUCCCUUCCAUUAGUAUCCAACUAUCUUCAAGCUGACUUUCUUCCUUGUGCCUGUACUGUCCCCUUGGUGCUGCCAUUUUCAGGUGUAGAGUUCUCUUCCCAGCUCCUCCUAAACUGAGAAACCACAUUGGCCUAGUGCAGGACACAGGCAGAGCCUGCCUGACCACCUGGAGCUGCCCUGUUUGUCUCCUGUCUGUGGCUCUUGAGCCCUUCGUCUCGCUCUCUUGCAGUAGCCAUUACCUUAGGACCACUUCCAGCACUGAUGCUGAUGUUCUUAAUGGGAAGACAUUUGGUUUGUAUGGAAAACUGCUAGGCUGCUACCACAGCUGUGUACGUGCUAGUUCACUGCCCAUGUGCCAUCCUGUCCUUUUGCUGAUCAGGAGGCGCGUGCCAAUGAGCAGAACUGACGUGUCAUCCCAUGCCUACAGCUAGCAGGUCAUCUCCCAGAGGCUGGGGGCGUGCUUGCUGCUGUGCCUGGCUACCUGCUCCUGUGCAGUUAUCCAGAGCCCGUCACUGGGGAGGGAGUCUCGGGGCACCUCCCAAACAUUGCUCACCACCACCUCCCUCAAGGAGAUCGUUGGUGGAGAUAGGGGAAUGCCCGCCCUGCUGCAACUGGUGUUGUGGCUGCCCUGUUAUUGCUGGCAACCGUGGAGGUAGACUGCGCUGCCAAGUUUCUUCACUGCGGUGUUCUGAUGACAAAGCCUAGAUUAAAACCUAUUAAAAAUACAAUAUAGUCAAAGUAAAACCAAUGCAAAUAUUUUAUGAUUAAGUAAUCGAAUUCUCUGUGCUGUGGAAUGGUGCGAUGCGUGCACAACAUGGCUGAUUCUAGUGCUUCACUGUCUGAGUUGGUCAUAUGUGGGUUCAGUUUAACACUAAUGGCGAGGCCAAGCACGAAGAAGAUGUGGGCAUCCCCACCCUAUAAUUGAUGUAGAGCUGCGCUGAAAAGGAAGUGUUCUCAUAGUGUACCAAAGGAAAUGGUUGCAAGUCUGAAUGCAGUUCUUAUACAUUUUGCCAAGUGUAGUGUUAGCUGUGAAGUUCAAGUUCACAGGUGGAAGAAUGAGAAAAGACAAGUACCUCGGAAAAAGUAAAUUCUCUGAUAAUGCUGCAGAGAACAUAUGAUCGUAGCAGAAAGGAAUUUUUAAAAGUCUGGGGAAAAAGCUUAUUCUUUAAGCUCUGCCAAUGAAAAAAAAAAAAUGAGCAGGAUCUUUAAAUACGCCUAAUAAACUUACAGGUUUGGGGCGGGAAAAGAGAUCAGUUUGUAGAGUGUUAGCCUGCUGGCAAGGCCGGCUGCACAAACAGCUCCGCGCUCUGUUGGAACAGCAGGUAAGUCUCUGCAUACUCUGCCUUUGCUGGAGAUCUGGAAAGCAGAGCGUUAAGGUGCACUGCAAGGCAAGCAGCACUAGUGAACCGCUCUCCUUUUUGAACUGUGUAAAUGAAAACACAGCUCUGGCACCAUUAGCUCUGAUGGCCCCAGCCACCAUCCUCACUGGCACCCUGAUCUCACCGGUUAGAGAAGGGGAAGAGCUGUAAUUCAUGAGGCUCCACAACUGCUCCCUCUGUGUGGGUAUCUCAAAAAGCUGACGAAGGAUUUUGGAAGCGGACUUCUGAAGAAACGCUGUUUGGCUAUCUGCUCUACUAUAACAGCAGGGUUGGCUUUUUACGCUCUUAUCUCCCGGACAGGGUGAGGGGUGUUGGUACAUUUGUGUGUAUGCACAUGUCUGUAUGUACGUGUGUGUGCAUCUCCCACCCCCUGCCCAAACACGUAUGUGUAGAAGGCUUGAAAAACCACCGCUGCUGGAUGAAUGGAGACCAGUCGCUUGUGCUCAAGCGUCUUUGCUCGGUCGGUAGUUUCAGAUAAUGUUCUGCAUGUUGCUUUCUCACUCUGUUUUCCAACUGAAACCAAGGUGACAACUCGUUGUCAAUCAGGGAGGCUAUUGGGUGCCUUGCUGAGAUUUUGGGCUUUUUUCUGUUGAGCUCCCCGUGAGGAAUGCAAUGACUCUAAUACAAGGGAGGCCUCCAGCAGCCCUUUCCUUCUCACCUCAAAGAGAGUGCUUAAGAACAUAUGUCCCGGUAACAGGAAGGACGAAAAAAAAGCAAUUUAGGAGCAAAAAAUAAAAAGGCAAUUCUAUUUACGCACAUAAAGGUGACUGUUUGUUGUGGCCUUUUUAGUUUUAGAUCUCCUCCCUUCUUCUGAUGGAAUUUUUGUUUUUGUUGGUCUUGAAACUACCUUUGUCAUCCUUACGAUUUUCUCCUUUGCUCAGAUUUUCAAUUUCUUUGAAAAGUAAUAUUCCAUUUUUCUCCCCCCCACCCCCCCGCAGUUGCACUCUGGGUUUCUACAAUUUUCCUUUUCAAUCUUCUCCUCAUACAUUCUCUGCCCACUCCCUCCUGCCUCUCCCACCUUCACCGCACCUCCAGUGUCUCCAGCACAGCUCCAGCUCUCACAAAACAACAGCAAUCAUAUAACAAUUUACAACCAUUAGCCAAUUGAGUGUAACACCUCUCUACAAGGUAGGUAAUCAUUUACGGAACACUGCUAAGCUACUGCUGUUUCGUGUGACAGAUUGUUCAGCUGCUUCUGCUCUCUCAAAGGGCCCCAGACAACAAUAGUAAGGCUGUGAAAGCGCAGGGUUGGGAUGAACAGCUAGAGCAGUGUGUGGGGGACUACAGACAUCUGCUAACACACUGCUGAGCUCUGAACUGUCCUUUUACUCCUGGUUUAGCGAGCAUUAAAUGUGUUCUGUGUCUCUAUUGUCAAACUGGCUGCAUCUUGAGGGGAAAAAAAGGAAGGAAAAAAAGCAAUGAGAAGUCUGUGGCCCGCUUGGAGCUCGUCAUGCAACACUUCAUAAAGCAGCACGCAGCAACUGGUCUGUCUUCUUCGUCCUGUGACCACAAUGCUGUAAUCCUGUAGGCUAGGCUGUGCUGAAGUAGGGAGAGGCCAUUGUAUCUGCUGAAGGCAGUCGGUGAGUACACGAAUGGCACGAUGUUACACGGGGACUGCCAACCUGAAAUGCUGGGUGGCAGGAAGACAUACAAGCCAGAGGCCCGGAAAGCACACGGACUCAUUGUGGAGCACAGCUUCCAGCUGUGCCAUCCCUACAGGUGUCUGUGAAUCGCGCUGGAUGUCCACCUGCACCUUCAGUUCAGGUGAGCACACAGACAUUACCACAAGUCUGGUCUCGUGCUACUUUGCUAAGUGCUUUUGAGAGUCGCACCCAACGUUAAAAAGAGAUGGAUGUGGGAGAUUAAGAUAAAUGCACAAAACACUUUCAUUUUCUUUAUUUUCAAUCGAUACUGUAUGAAUACAAAGUUUCUAGAAAGCUACAAAAAUUCUACCACUUUAUCAAGAAGGCAUCAAAAUGUGUCACUUUGCAAAGACAUGAAAACACCUGCAGUAACCGACACAAAAAUAGCAUUUUUAGAGUGAUGAAAUAAUUGCACUUAACUGUCAUGGAUAUUAAAGUUAUCACACAUAUGUACCGCGAAAGCUAGAAUACAUUUUUUUUUUUUACAAAGCACUUUAUAAAAAAAUUCUCUGCACACAAAACCUAUAAUUUUCAUAUUACUAUCAUACUAAAGAUAAAUUCACUUUAAAGCCAACACUUAAAACAUUUUAAACAAAAAAAAAAAAAAAAAAAAAAAGGUACCAGUACCUACACACAGACAAUAACAAAUACAAGAAUACUGUACUGCCAAGAGGUUUGACUGAAACUCCUUUUGAAAGCUUCUGCAAAUACGUUAAGAAAACAUUGGAGAACGUUUGCUUUUUUUUUAUUUCCAAGAGCCUUCCCUCCCUGUCUAACCUAGAGGUACUUUAUCAUCAAAAGGCAAGUUCUACAUCAAAAGUUACCAGCAGCAGUACAAUAUUAAAGUAACCACUGACCAUAUAUGAAUAUGCUUAAGUCACAAACCCAUUUUAUACACAUUACACAAAUAAACAUAAAGUGAGAAUUCCAUUAAGUCAUUUACAAAUGUGAACAAAUGCACAUGGCAAAAAAAAAAAGAAAAGAAAAAAAAAAAGAAAAAAAAAAAGAAAAAAAAAAGAAAAUCCAAACAAAACAAAA